rnacentral:rRNA from 1 species
GCUCAGGACGAACGCUGGCGGCGUGUUCUAAUACAUGCAAGUCGAACGAACUCUGGUAUUGAUUGGUGCUUGCAUCAUGAUUUACAUUUGAGUGAGUGGCGAACUGGUGAGUAACACGUGGGAAACCUGCCCAGAAGCGGGGGAUAACACCUGGAAACAGAUGCUAAUACCGCAUAACAACUUGGACCGCAUGGUCCGAGCUUGAAAGAUGGCUUCGGCUAUCACUUUUGGAUGGUCCCGCGGCGUAUUAGCUAGAUGGUGGGGUAACGGCUCACCAUGGCAAUGAUACGUAGCCGACCUGAGAGGGUAAUCGGCCACAUUGGGACUGAGACACGGCCCAAACUCCUACGGGAGGCAGCAGUAGGGAAUCUUCCACAAUGGACGAAAGUCUGAUGGAGCAACGCCGCGUGAGUGAAGAAGGGUUUCGGCUCGUAAAACUCUGUUGUUAAAGAAGAACAUAUCUGAGAGUAACUGUUCAGGUAUUGACGGUAUUUAACCAGAAAGCCACGGCUAACUACGUGCCAGCAGCCGCGGUAAUACGUAGGUGGCAAGCGUUGUCCGGAUUUAUUGGGCGUAAAGCGAGCGCAGGCGGUUUUUUAAGUCUGAUGUGAAAGCCUUCGGCUCAACCGAAGAAGUGCAUCGGAAACUGGGAAACUUGAGUGCAGAAGAGGACAGUGGAACUCCAUGUGUAGCGGUGAAAUGCGUAGAUAUAUGGAAGAACACCAGUGGCGAAGGCGGCUGUCUGGUCUGUAACUGACGCUGAGGCUCGAA